rnacentral:rRNA from 1 species
UACGGGGGGGGCAAGCGUUGUUCGGAAUUACUGGGCGUAAAGGGCUCGUAGGCGGCCAACUAAGUCAGACGUGAAAUCCCCAGGCUCAACCUGGGAACUGCGUCUGAUACUGGAUGGCUUGAAUCCGGGAGAGGGAUGUAGAAUUCCACGUGUAGCAGUGAAAUGCGUAGAGAUGUGGAGGAACACCGAUGGCGAAGGCAGCCCCCUGGGUCAAAACUGACGCUCAUGCACGAAAGCGUGGGGAGCAAACAGG